AUACGUAGGGGGCGAGCGUUGUCCGGAAUGAUUGGGCGUAAAGGGCGCGUAGGCGGCCGCUUAAGUCUGGAGUGAAAGUCCUGCUUUCAAGGUGGGAAUUGCUUUGGAGACUGGUUGGCUUGAGUGCGGAAGAGGUAAGUGGAAUUCCCAGUGUAGCGGUGAAAUGCGUAGAGAUUGGGAGGAACACCAGUGGCGAAGGCGACUUACUGGGCCGUAACUGACGCUGAGGCGCGAAAGCGUGGGGAGCGAACAGGAUUAGAUACCCUGGUAGUCCACGCAGUAAACGAUGAAUGCUAGGUGUAGGGGUUAUCGACCCCUCCUGUGCCGGAGUGAACACAAUAAGCAUUCCGCCUGGGGAGUACGGCCGCAAGGUUGAAACUCAAAUGAAUUGACGGGG
rnacentral:rRNA from 1 species